GGGCCUAUAGCUCAGCUGGUUAGAGCGUCCGCCUGAUAAGCGGGAGGUCAGUGGUUCAAAUCCACUUAGGCCCACCA
rnacentral:tRNA from 1 species